rnacentral:rRNA from 1 species
GACGAAGGGGGCUAGCGUUGUUCGGAAUUACUGGGCGUAAAGCGUGCGCAGGCGGCGCGUUAAGACAGGUGUGAAAGCCCCGAGCUUAACUUGGGAAUUGCGCUUGUGACUGGCGGGCUGGAGUGUGGCAGAGGGAGGUGGAAUUCCACGUGUAGCAGUGAAAUGCGUAGAGAUGUGGAGGAACACCGAUGGCGAAGGCAGCCUCCUGGGCCAGCACUGACGCUCAUGCACGAAAGCGUGGGGAGCAAACAGG